rnacentral:rRNA from 1 species
UACGUAGGGUGCGAGCGUUAAUCGGAAUACUGGGCGUAAAGCGUGCGCAGGCGGUGAUGUAAGACAGGUGUGAAAUCCCCGGGCUUAACCUGGGAACUGCAUUUGUGACUGCAUCGCUGGAGUGCGGCAGGAGGGGGGUGGAAUCCGCGUGUAGCAGUGAAAUGCGUAGAUAUCGGGAGGAACACCAGUGGCGAAGGCGACUACCUGGCCUGUUCUUGACGCUGAGGCGCGAAAGCUAGGGGAGCAAACGGG